rnacentral:misc_RNA from 1 species
AUAAGGGAUGCUGUGAUUCUUGCUUGUGUUCUACAUGCUAUUUGUUCCCCUCUUUUUCAUGCUUAUUUAAUUACCCUGUGAUAUUUCUCGAGUGCUUCUUGUUUAUAAGCAUGAGAACAAGAAUUUCUCUAUUUUAGCUCAAGAAAGCAAGAACGAUAUAUACUUCUUUGUGUUAGUUAAAUAAUUUAAUUAGGGGUAACUAAGAAAGAAUCAGACCCUUGAUUAAACCGUUAAAUAAUUUAAUUAGGGGUAACUAAGAAAGAAUCAGACCCUUGAUUAAACCACUUUAUUAUUUGAAAAAGCUAGGUGGCUAGCUGCUUGAAGAGAGCAGACGUGUGUGUGUGUGUGUAUGGAGGGUAGCGAAGAAGAGAGGAAUGUGAAUGGCGGGGGAAGGGAGAAGAGAAAUGGUUAGGCGGUAGCUGUUGAGGUAAAUAUUAUGUGUGGAGGAAAGAUGAGGUGAAAGAGCAUUUUAGCUUUGGAAAUGGGAAGCUGUCCUUUUGGAAUUUUAUGGAGUUAGAGCUGUGGGAGAAGGAGAAGGGAAGGAAGCAUGGGUUUUUGUAGUACUAGCAAGUGGUAGAGUAUGGCUUGGCAAGUGGCAAUGGUGGGGAUACCCUCAGACAAAUGAAAAUGAGUAGGAAAGUGAUGUCCACGUGCUAUGUUAGCCCCACAAAAGAUUGGAGUACAUGGAGAGAAAUGCAUGAAGGAACGAAGAUAAUUUUUCUUAGAGCCCAAACAUUCUUCAUCUUCAAUAUAAUCAUAAUCGAUCAUGAUCAAGAGUCUCACUUCUAAAUUUAUCAUUUUGUUUCACUCAAUACUCAAAAAGAAAGAAAGAAAGAAAUUAGAAAACACUAAAAUCAUAAAUAUAUCUAAAAUCAUUGUUCUUGCCAAAACCAUUCCACCUCCAAUUUGGAAAAAUAAAAUGAAAGAUGAGACACUAUUCUUUACCAGGCUGAGCAUUCCACCACUUGAGUCGCCUUAACUUAACCAAUGGUCACAACACAGGAGAAGGAGGUGCAUGUGGCAAUACAUGAUAAGAGAGGAAGAGAUAGGGAAGAUAUUCGCCCGUUUGUUUGGUGAGGGGAAAGGAGACGCCGGCUGCCGAGGAUGAAAGGGAGUGAGAGAGGAAGGAGGAGGCGACUGUUCUUUAAAUUUAGAUUUUCUUACAUAAAGAUAAAAGAAGCAGAUGGAUUUAUGUUUAUCCAUCUUCAUGUGUGUUGCUCAUAGAAAAAUAGUAACAGUCCAAGAAAAUA